ACGGACAGGUUAUCCUAUAUUAUACAAGAUGUCCAACCCGGCAAUACUUCUUCUAUCUCUGACUACAUAAACAAUUCCCAAAUAUGUCCUCACACAUGCACUCAAAGCUAAGCUCCACUCAAUAGCCAUCAUUUAACAAUAGUCUCAGCAUCACUUCAUCGUUUAGAGCAUACUGAAUGGCAGGCACUGCAUUCAGGACUUCUUUGCAAUGGAUAUCCUUAUUAGAAACAGCAAAAUCCAGUGCAGCCCUCCUCUCAUCAUCACAGCUCUUGGAAAUGUGGUAAGCAAGCAGAGGAUCGAUGACAAAACCAUUCCCAAUUAGGCACUGUGCUUUUGCCCAUCUGCUGUUGAGUGAAUUGGUGUUAGCUCACAUUUCCAGAUUCCAUGCUUGGUGGUUAUUGGGGUAAGAUAUUUCAGUGCAAGAUAAUGUCCCUCAUAGGCAGCUCAGUGUAAAGAAAGAUGUCCUUCUCUGUUAGGUACAUGUCUGCUUCCUCUAUAUCCCAGCAGGAGAGAAAUGUAAUCAGAAUUGUCCCCUCCUGCUGCUCAAACAACACUAAUAUCCCAUCAUUUGCCAAAGCAGACACAUUACCAUCUUUGAGGAUUAGAUGUUUCAGCACAUCACAGAGACCAUACCCAACAAUAGAACCUACUGGUGUGACUCCAAACUGUCUCAGGUGACAUUGCCAGCAGAUUUAUGAGAUCUUUUCAAAAUAUGUAAUAUAUAUUGCAAACGCACGCACGCACGUGUGCACACACACGUAUAUCUCUUGAUUUCAGAGGUGAAAGGAGAGGAAGAGCAAGAGAGACAACAGAGAUGACAGAAAAUCAUUGGUCAGCUGCAUCCUGUACAACCGUGACCUGGUUCAUAGGUUGAUGCUCAGCCACGGAGCAACACUGGCCAGGAGCCACACCGGUCAGGCGUAGGUCUUUGUAGCCUUGUUUGGCUGCCUCAUGCAUGGCCAACAGUUGUUGACACAGGGCUGGUCAAGGCUGGUAGUGUGUUAGAGCAGAGCAGACACUGUCAGAGGAGCCCUUUUAAACAACUUUAAGAUUUUAAAAAGAACACUUGACAGUAGGCAUAUUAACAUGAAUAUCUUAGAUGAUAUUAAACAAGUUACCAAUUUUAACAUCAAAAGAGAUUUUUGCCAUUCUCUUUUACAGGAGAAUAUUUUAUUUUUCGUACCCCUUUCAUUUCUUAUAUCCAAAUUUCUAUUGAGGAGUGUAAGCAUGCAGGAUAAUACCUUCUCUUUAAGAUCCUGAUCUGAGCAGGUUUAAGAGUUGCAUGAAAGAUAGUAGUACACAUUGCUAAGAUGUUGUAUAUAAUCUUUCUAAAUUUUAAUGUUUUGAUUAACAAUAAAAAUGACAUCCACUGUUGGAUUGUGUAAGUUAAAUGGCGUAUGUACAAGGUUUCAUAUAUACUAGGAGUGCAGUAGAUGAUUACUAUUAUUAUUAAAAAUACCAUUUCAUCACUUCUAGGAUCCUGGAAUCACAUGUGUAUAUAAAAUGUAUCAAGUUUCCCCCCCUCUCAACAGAGGUGUGAUGCUUUUUUCUUCCUAUGCUCUUAAUGGGGGUUCAGCAGUAGGAAUGUUUAGAAUCUAGGUAGGCCAGUUGUUCUAAGCAGAUGAAGCAUAUGAUGGCUAACGUACUCCCUUCUCAGAGGCCUUCUAAACCAGAUCUCUACCCCCCCUCUGGUUGUCGCUAGUGGCUGAAAUUACACUGUUCAAAGUGUUUCCCCCUUUAGAUGAAUAACAGAUUUUUCCAGCUUAGUUAUAACUAUUUCUAAAAAUGUAAUGCAUUUUCUCUGAUCAAAAAGGGGGAAGAGGAGAGGACAAAGAGGAGAGGAGAGAGGGGAAGGAGGAGAGAGCUACUUACUAACCUAUAAUUAACAAAUGAAUUAAUGUGUUACUUCAUGUUCAUAUUUUUUUACCUUCUAAGAAUCAUCCUCUGAAUUUAUAUAUAAACUAGAGGCCAAAUAGGAUUACAAAUUUCAUUAUACUCUGAACUUAGCCCUUCUCUAGAAUAUUCUGCAGUAGGAUGUGAGAAAGUAAUAGAAACAACUUUCUUAAAGUAUUUUGAACCGAUGUUAUUAUACUAUGUGGUGUUUAGCAUUCUCUGCUGUUUUUAGGAUGAUGGUGGUUUAACUUCAAGAGAGUGACUGUUUGCUCAGACAUCUCAUUUUAUUAUCAUUGUGCAGUUUUUAACAACAAAAUUUACUGUAUUUUCAUUUGUUCUUUAGAUGUUGUAAUUGUGCUAAUUUGAAACAGAAAUAACAAUGGCAUUUAAAAUUAUUAAGUCAUUUGAUAUUGUCAAGGUUUUCCCACUACCAUAUUUCUUUACUAUUAUGUUCUUUUCCUCUAGUCCACCAUAGAGGACAUAGAGUACAAAAUUGGAAAAAGAAAACAGGGAUACUUAUUAAAAUGGUGAGAAAGCCAGGCGGAGCAUGGAAAAUAGCAUCUAAGCAACAGAGUAGACUGAAUGGAGUUCUGUGGCAUCAGAAACUCCCCCUGCUACAGUCAUAUUAGCCUUAUCCAUUGUAUUGUAUUAUAAGAGUUAAAGUAUGAGGACAUUUAAUUUGAGUUAUCUUAUCUACGGAGUUUAUAUUGCUGAUUCUCUUCAGCUGAUCAGAUGCCUUUGAGAAGUUAUUUUAAACAGUAAAGUAUUAAGAAUAAUGUGAAAGGUGCAGCUAUUUAAUGCUGAGUAGACAUGAAUAGAUUGCCCGGAAGUUUGAUUGAAAAAACUGGGACCUUUUUCACAAGCAUACUAUUGCAAAGAAAGGAUACUAAGUAUUAUAGUAAAUUUUGUCAAAGUAAAAAAAUCAAGAAUUUAUAUAUAAGGAAUGAUUUUUCACUUUAAAAUUUGGGGUAUUUGGCAUUCUUGAUACCUUGAAGGUCUCCAUACCUAUUAGUAUUGUGAAUGCCUGGAACAUGUAAUGCAGUGCUUGCCACAGUGGUUCAACACUCUGAUCUUUUUAGUAUUGAUAUUUUAGAUAUUAACAGUGAUGAGGGCAAAAUGGCAACAAAAAAGGUAUGUUUCUUUUUGUGGCUUUGCUUGAUUGUUUGAGGAAAUACAGGGUUUAACUACAGGGAAAGGUUGUCUUCAUGUUGCAAGUUCUAUGUUCCUGCCAGUGUUCACUGGGUGACAUUUUCACCUGCUGGUGCCUGAAGUUAGUGUUUUACAACCUCAACUCAAACACCCUGGUGCUACUCAUUUAGCCUUGAGUGACAUUUUCAUUUCCGGUACCAAAGAGUUAAUUUUCUUUUCGGUUGACCGAAAGUUUUCUUCUCACAUCCUUGUGUUUAUAAAGUAAAAUUUAAUGUUACUAAGAACAAUUUUGAUUAACAGAUCUUGGUUUUUACACACUGCUGCCUCAAUUUAAUUGGUUUUAAAGGUUUCUCAUUUGAACUUUUUUUUUUAGAUAGGCAGAUUAGUAUGGUUUUUUAUUUUGUAUUUUAAUAUAGAUUGACUACUGACUACUGUAAAAGUUUAGUAGGUUGAAGUUGCAAAAGAUAAAGCACUUUUCACAAGAUAUUUUGGUUUUGCUUUAUUUCUGCAGGAAAAAAUGAGAAAUAAUAAGUCUACUUUUAUUUCUAUAAGUGAACUAUCUAGCUUAUUGGGCCCUUUUAGUGAAUGCUGAAACAAAAUGAUAACGUGGAAAGGUUAGGGACCUUUCUGAUUACAAAUGAAGAACUCUGCUUCUUGCUCUGUGUGUAAUCCGUAAUGCCAUUGAGGAGUGAUGCUGUCAUUUGUCUAUUUUGUAAACAAGGUUAGAAUUACAAAACACUUAAAAAAUAUACAUAUACCAGGUGUCCCAAAAAUACACACACUUCAAAUAAUUACUAAUUCUAAUUGAUUAAAUCUGAAAAGAAAGAAAAAUCAAAUGAGCUGUCAGCUGUUAAGUGUGUAUACAUUUUUGGGGACACCCUAUAUAUAUAAACACUUCCAAAGAGGAAAUGCAAAUAUACUUGAUUUAAGCAAAAUUGUAAUAGAAAAUUGAACUUUACAAAAAAAAAAAAAGUCUCUAUGCUGUUAUUCACUUAACAUAAAAAAAUUAAGAAUAAGAGUAUUUUAAAAACUUAAUUCUUCUUAGUAAUUCAUUUUAUAAAAAAUGGGAGAAAUAUAAAGUACUUACUUAUAAUUGUCCAAAUGUAAUAUUGCUGUUUACUAUUCUGUUUUUCUAUGUUUCCUAAAACUUUCAAAACAUUCAUUGGGUGACCUUAAAACCAUGGCUGAAAUUGUUAAAAAUUCUGGCAGGAAGGUAACAGUGUGUAUGUAUUGAAAAAUUAGACAGUCACAUUUGAGAAUGUUUUGCAUCAUUUUCACUCAACAAAUAUUCUCUCAUUGAAUGUAGAUACAAUAUAGGGUUUUGCAGUGAAUUCUGAAUGGAAAAAAGAAUCAAGUCUAAAACUUAUAUGAAACAUGACUUAGGAUCAUUUGAAUGAUCUGUAGAAAUAGAGAUAUAGAUGUCAUGAGAGGUAAAAGCAAAAUGGGAAGAAGCAACAAUAUGUCUUUGUCAACAAUAUAUUUCUUAGAUUUUGUUGCCACAAUAUUAGUACUGAGUUAUUCAGCUUGUUAAUGCAUUAUUUAAAUUAAUGUGGCUGAAUGUAGCUAUUUAUUCAAGUGAUUGGGUAGUAGAGAGUUCACCACUAUCCUCUGUCUUCCAGAGAUGAGUAUUAAAAAGAAAUUUCUAGUGCAUAGGUACACUAAAGCAGAGAUUCUCGACAUGAGUUGCGGGUCUGCGGGAGAACAGGGUAGGCUUUGGGAGGACUGAGCACAGGUGAGUGUGCUUGUAUGAGCUUUAUGUCCCUAAAAUUAGCCUUUAAAAAAAAAAAUUCUAGCAAGUUUAAUGACUAAGCAAAAUCUGUGAUAUUUUGAGACUUCUAAAAUUGUGUAUCAGCCUCAAAUGGUAUCUAAUAUUAUAUAUCUCUAAAAUAAAGGACAUCUAUUUUAAUAAUGGUAUGUUCCAAUUCCAUAUAAAGAUGCCAUUUUUCUUUUUGUUUUUUAAUUUAUUUUAAUUGUUGAAAAUAUUGCAGAUGUCCACCCUUUUUCCUCAUUGACCCCUUCUAACCCGACCCCAUCCCUUGCCCCAGGCCUUUACUGCUUUAUUGUCAUGGUCCAUGUGUUACGCAUAUAUCAUACAAGUUCUUUGGUUAAUCUCUUCCCACCCACCCCUGGCUUCCCUCUGAGAUUCCAUGGUCUGUUCCAUGCUUCUGUGUCUCUGGAUCUAUUUUGCUCAUCAGUUUAUUUUUGUUCUUUAGAUUCCACAUAUGAGUGAGAUCAUGUGAUACUUGUCGUUCUCUGACUGGCAUAUAAAGAUCCCAUUUUUAAGUUAUUCAGGCAGUUAUUUCAUUCAGUGGAUAUGUUUACAUUUAAGUGCUAAUGCCACAUUGUCUAUUUCACCUUGUCUGCUCCCCUAAGAUUUCUUAAAGUCUUCACUACCUUUCCAGUGCUGAUGGUAAUGCUAAUAGUAAAUAUGGAAAAUAGUUGAGAAGUAAUAGACUAGAUUGAAAAGAGGGAGAGGAAAGAGGACAAGUGUAAACCAUGUGUCUCAGAUAUACUCGUUUAAAUGAAGAGUCUACACUGGUUCUUAAAAUGAAAAGCAAACUAUGUAUCUACCUUAAGAAUAAUGUUGUUGUUUAAUUUAUUUUAAUGAUUUAGUUUUGUUCUUGUAAUAGUUCUAUUUUUCUUUGAAGAUUGUUUUUAAUUUAAAUUGUGGAAUUUUUACUUCUCUUGAAAGGUAUUAUGUAAUGUAUUUUUAGAAAUCUUAUUUUUAAAUAAAUAUUUUU